UGCAGGUUUCACAUGGUCAAAACGGGGGAGAAAAUUCAUAAAUGAAAAGAUGUUUAUUUUAAGAGGUGAUGUUAUUGAUGAUUGCAUUUAAAUGUAUUUGCAAGGGAUCUGCAAGUGGGGAAAGUUGCAAAUAACUAAAUUUGGCACUCCCCAGCGUCCUGAGUCUGUUUGCUUGGGGAUAUGAAUGAUGCGGAUAUGUUUUCUUCCUCACUUUGUUUUCUCCCUUUUCUCCCGCAAACAUUAGCACAAACUCUGACUGCUGUGGCAGGGCAAGAGAGUUUUCUCUCUGCAUCUCUGUGGCUAAUACUAAUAUGCUUUUUUUGUUGUUGUUUGUUUAAUCUUGGGAGUUUGCCGGGCCCUCCUGGCUGUGGAGUCAGUUUGUACCACUUCUGUGAGAUAGACGUUAUCCUACUGGCAAAGAGGAUAACCAAAUACAGAGCCCCAUCUUCUUUUCCUGUGUGUUUUUUUUUUUUUCUUUUAGAUGGAGUCUUGCUCCGUUGCCCACGCUGGAGUGCAGUGGCGUGAUCUCGGCUCACUGCAACCUUCGCCUCCCAGGUUCAAGCGAUUCUCCUGCCUCAGCCUACUGAAUACCUGGGACUACAGAUUGCAGGGAGAGGCUCCUCCGUGCUCCUGAGAGGCCGAACACAGGGUCCCCAGCACAGCUUUCUGCUCGGUGUCUCCUGAGCCACGGAAGAAGACAUGUGGCAGGAGCACCUGGUGCUAAUAUAUAUUCAUGUCUAUGGCAAUGCCGACCAUCUGGCUGGUCUGAACCAGGAUAAAAGUGAAGACUUCCUCUGUGAAGACCCAGCUCUUUCUUUGGCUCCUUUCUUGAAGCCAUCUUUGCUCUGCUCUCCUCUGCUGCCCAGAAAGUUCCAGAGUGAAGCUCAGCUCUAGAUGAACAAAAACUGGUUGAGUCCGGAGAUGCCUGAGUUGGAGAUGAACCUUGCGAACUUUCCUCAUUACCAUACUAAAAACCCCACCCAGGAAGGAGCUUAUCUGCCAUUUCCUACACAUGUGACAUAUGGAGAAGCAUGAUCAGCUACUUCACAGUCUCUGCCUUUACUCUGCCUCCGCAUACAAUGGCUCAGCUAACUAGCCUAACCAAAGCUGUUUUCACCAUUGUUUGGGAGGUACUGCUUUGGGAAACUGCCCCAGCUGUCCUCCUUACUUGUUGUAGGUAAUAAAAUCCCUUUGUUAAAUC